rnacentral:rRNA from 1 species
UACGUAGGCAGCAAGCGUUGUUCGGAGUUACUGGGCGUAAAGGGUGCGUAGGCGGCUUUUUAAGUUUGGUGUGAAAUCUCCCGGCUCAACUGGGAGGGUGCGCCGAAUACUGAGAGGCUAGAGUGCGGGAGAGGAAAGUGGAAUUCCUGGUGUAGCGGUGAAAUGCGUAGAUAUCAGGAGGAACACCGGUGGUGUAAACGGCUUCUGGACCGUAACUGACGCUGAGGCACGAAAGCGUGGGUAGCAAACAGG